UCCGUAGGUGAACCUGCGGAAGGAUCAUUAACGAGUUUUGAAACGGGUUGUUGCUGGCCUUCCGAGGCAUGUGCACGCCCUGCUCAUCCACUCUACACCUGUGCACUUACUGUAGGUUGGCGUGGGUUUCUAGCCUCCGGGUUGGAAGCAUUCUGCCGGCCUAUGUACACUACAAACUCUUAAAGUAUCAGAAUGUAAACGCGUCUAACGCAUCUUAAUACAACUUUCAGCAACGGAUCUCUUGGCUCUCGCAUCGAUGAAGAACGCAGCGAAAUGCGAUAAGUAAUGUGAAUUGCAGAAUUCAGUGAAUCAUCGAAUCUUUGAACGCACCUUGCGCUCCUUGGUAUUCCGAGGAGCAUGCCUGUUUGAGUGUCAUGAAAUUCUCAACCCAUAAAUCCUUGUGAUCUAUGGGCUUGGAUUUGGAGGCUUGCUGGCCCUAGCGGUCGGCUCCUCUUGAAUGCAUUAGCUUGAUUCCGUGCGGAUCGGCUCUCAGUGUGAUAAUUGUCUACGCUGUGACCGUGAAGCGUUUUGGCAAGCUUCUAACCGUCCAUUAGGACAAUUUUAUAACAUCUGACCUCAAAUCAGGUAGGACUACCCGCCGAACUUAAGCAUAUCAAUAAGCGGAGGA
rnacentral:rRNA from 1 species